GCGACAGAUUAAACAGUCUUUCGAUUUCAUAAACCAGAACUUGAUUUGAUAGCCAAGCAAUGUGUUGAUUGGAAGACUAGAAAGUUUUGGCAAUGGCAGAGUAUAUACGUUCCACAUCAUGUGUUAGGUUGCAUAUGUGGACAACCUGUGUUCGAGAGAAGAGCUAUUUAAUCCGAAAUUCACAUAUUAGGACGCCACAGGGG
rnacentral:misc_RNA from 1 species